GAAGAUAAAUGAGAUAUUCCGUUUAGGGUUUUGGGAUAUUCUCUUCAAUGGCCGUUACUUGUCUAGACUUCAAUUUCAGCUCCAAUACUUUAUCUUCUUCGGCUCCGUUCCUCUCUCGAACUCACUUUCUUGGCGAGGUUCUGGUGAAGAAUGGUGUCGCUGGAAAGAGAGGAAGUAGAAGAAAUAUUAACAAUAGCUUUGUUGUUCUCUCUACGCAUUCAAACCCCAAAAUUCUCAAAUCAAAUAGAAAAUCUCGGUAUGGACAGAGGCUCUCUCCCUAUGAUGAUGAUGAUGAUGAUGGCGGUGAGGUUGGUGUUGGUGUUGCUAGUGACGAUGAAUAUUCAGAGGAUUCUACACCCUGGGAUGAUGAAUUUGCAGAAAUUGAAGAGUUCAGUGUAUUACAAAGCUUUCAAUCAGAUGAUGAAACGAACACAAAACAAGGCCACCGCAGACAACCAAAGAGGGAGUGGGAGAAAUCAUUGAAAUCCAGGCAACGUUUGAAAAUUACGGGCAGCAGAUUGGAUACUGGAAAUCAGAACAACACUCAAGUGAAUAGAAAUUACCAUGAUGCUUCAACUGGAAUGAAGGAAAUAGAUUCCAUUGAUAUAGAUGGCCGAGGAAAGCUGAAGCUCGGAAAAUCUACAGAGAGCAAGUACCGCCAAAUGUCAGAAGAAUUAGAUGUGGAUAAGAAAUGGUAUCCGCUUCUUGAUUACCUGAGCACAUAUGGACUAAAGGAUUCACACUUCAUCCAAAUCUAUGAGAGACACAUGCCCUCCCUUCAGAUUAAUGUGGCUUCCGCACAGGAAAGGUUGGAAUUCUUGUUGAGUGUUGGUGUCAAACAUAGAGACAUCAGAAAGAUGCUUCUAAGGCAACCACAAAUUCUAGAGUACACAGUGGAAAAUCUGAAGUCCCAUGUUUCAUUUUUGUUGGGUUUGGGUGUCCCAGACUCCAGAAUAGGGCAGAUAAUUGCUGCUGCUCCCUCCCUGUUUUCUUAUAGCAUUGAACACUCUCUAAAACCAACAGUCAGAUAUUUGGUUGAAGAGGUCGGUAUUAAGAGAGCUGAUUUGACCAAAGUUGUGCAAUUGAGCCCUCAAAUUCUGGUACAGCGGAUUGACAAUUCAUGGAAUGCUCGCCUGGGUUUUCUUUCGAAAGAGCUAGGGGCACCUAGGGAUUGCAUAGUUAAAAUGGUCACUAAACAUCCACAGCUUCUUCAUUACAGCAUUGAAGAUGGAAUACUGCCCAGGAUCAACUUCCUUAGGAGUAUAGGGAUGCGUAACUCUGAUAUUUUGAAAGUAUUAACAAGCCUAACUCAGGUACUAUCUCUUUCAUUGGAGCAGAAUCUUAAGCCUAAAUAUUCUUACUUGGUCAAUGAGCUUCAAAAUGAGGUGAAGUCCUUGACCAAAUAUCCCACGUACUUAAGCUUAUCUUUAGAUCAGAGAAUUCGACCUCGCCACCGGUUCUUGGUUGCUCUAAGAAAAGCUCCAGAAGGGCCUUUUCCUUUGAGUUCAUUCGUUCCCACGGAUGAAUGCUUUUGUCAUCAAUGGGCUGGAACUAGCUUAGACAAAUAUUUGGCAUUUAGACAGAGUUUACCACUCAAGGAGUUCGCAAAGAAAUAUGAGAAAAAAAGAUAGUGAAUAUACAAUGUGCAAGUUGGUAUCAGUUAUAUUACCUGAAGGUAUUUGAAGGGACUUGGAGGGAUCUCAAUCAAUUUCUGCAACUUCUAUGAGUAUUAUACAACAAUAUUCAGCUCCAUGGUUAAUCUAGAUGCUGCUCCAGAUUUAUGUCAUGGGCAAACCUAAAAUUAUCAGUGCUGUAGCUGUGUUCUGCUUGCAAUAACUUAGUGCCUCUCAUUUAUAAGUUUUGAAGCUGCAAGUUGGGCGUGACACGAGUUCCUUGGUUAAAGGGUCUUAACAUGUUUUUUUCUAACUGUUCCUUUUUCUUCUUUUUUUC